UACGAAGGGGGCUAGCGUUGCUCGGAAUCACUGGGCGUAAAGCGCACGUAGGCGGCUUCUUAAGUCAGGGGUGAAAUCCUGGAGCUCAACUCCAGAACUGCCUUUGAUACUGAGAAGCUUGAGUCCGGGAGAGGUGAGUGGAACUGCGAGUGUAGAGGUGAAAUUCGUAGAUAUCUGGAGGAACACCGGUGGCGAAGGCGGCAUCCUGGACCAACACUGACGCUGAGGAGCGAAAGCCAGGGGAGCAAACGGG
rnacentral:rRNA from 1 species